CGGUAAGAGCAGCUGGCACUCUUAACCCCUGAGCCAUCUUUCCAGCCCCUGAAAGAGACUUCUGAAUGUCAUUCGACUUGACACUGGAGAUUUUUCAUAAGCAAAUAUCAAGACAGCUUGGGGACAGCCUUAUAAUCAAAAUGAGGCCUGAUUGUCCCACUCUUCUUAGAGGACAGCUUUCUCCCUACUGGCACUACGUUCUCCCAAUCACCCUCUGAAAGCAAGCAAGGUCCUGGAAGCUUUUCUGAAGGGCCCUAAGAGGUCCCUGGGAAAUCUAUUAUGGGAUGGCCUGGAAAUGUCACUUUUGAAAUCCUGCUUUUAAUGAACAGACAAGAAAAGGAUGCUGCCUCGCCCUCAUGGAUAAUGGCCAUCACCUGGGGAGCACUUUGUCCUGCCUUGGCCUCCUGUUCUGGGAAUCCAAGAUGAGUGAAGCCCAAGGACAAGAAUAUUUUGAAGAUGUGGGUGUCAGGCUUUCAUCAUGCUUCUAGUUGCCUUGUGGUUCAUAUGAGGAGUCAGUGGUUUUUAAGCAAAUGAAGCUUCUAAGUGCUUAUUUAAAAGAAUCCCACAGCUUGGUGAGAACUAGUCUGCCUAUAAACAUCUGGCAACAUUAUAACCUAUAUUAAAAUUUCAAGUACUGUAAAGUUUUCA